GAUGAACGCUGGCGGCGUGCCUAAUACAUGCAAGUCGAGCGAACGGACGAGAAGCUUGCUUCUCUGAUGUUAGCGGCGGACGGGUGAGUAACACGUGGAUAACCUACCUAUAAGACUGGGAUAACUACGGGAAACCGGAGCUAAUACCGGAUGAUAUUUUGAACCGCAUGGAUCAAAAGUGAAAGACGGUCUUGCUGUCACUUAUAGAUGGAUCCGCGCUGCAUUAGCUAGUUGGUAAGGUAACGGCUUACCAAGGCAACGAUGCAUAGCCGACCUGAGAGGGUGAUCGGCCACACUGGAACUGAGACACGGUCCAGACUCCUACGGGAGGCAGCAGUAGGGAAUCUUCCGCAAUGGGCGAAAGCCUGACGGAGCAACGCCGCGUGAGUGAUGAAGGUCUUCGGACCGUAAAACUCUGUUAUUAGGGAAGAACAUAUGUGUAAGUAACUGUGCACGUCUUGACGGUACCUAAUCAGAAAGCCACGGCUAACUACGUG
rnacentral:rRNA from 1 species